AGUGAACGCUGGCGGUAGGCCUAACACAUGCAAGUCGAACGGCAGCACAGUAAGAGCUUGCUCUUACGGGUGGCGAGUGGCGGACGGGUGAGGAAUACAUCGGAAUCUACUUUUUCGUGGGGGAUAACGUAGGGAAACUUACGCUAAUACCGCAUACGACCUACGGGUGAAAGCAGGGGAUCUUCGGACCUUGCGCGAUUGAAUGAGCCGAUGUCGGAUUAGCUAGUUGGCGGGGUAAAGGCCCACCAAGGCGACGAUCCGUAGCUGGUCUGAGAGGAUGAUCAGCCACACUGGAACUGAGACACGGUCCAGACUCCUACGGGAGGCAGCAGUGGGGAAUAUUGGACAAAGGGCGCAAGCCUGAUCCAGCCAUACCGCGUGGGUGAAGAUGGCCUUCGGGUUGUAAAGCCCUUUUGUUGGGAAAGAAAAGCAGCAGGUUAAUACCCCGCUGUUCUGACGGUACCCAAAGAAUAAGCACCGGCUAACUUCGUG
rnacentral:rRNA from 1 species